rnacentral:rRNA from 1 species
GCUUAACGCGAAGAACCUUACCCAGACUUGACAUUCAUCAAAGGUGGCCCAAAAGCUGCUGUGCCCGCAAGGGAAUGGUGAGACAGGUGCUGCAUGGCUGUCGUCAGCUCGUGUCGUGAGAUGUUGGGUUAAGUCCCGCAACGAGCGCAACCCUCGCCUUUAGUUGCUCCGCAAGGAGAUCUCUAGAGGGACCGCCAGUGAUAAGCUGGAGGAAGGUGGGGAUGACGUCAAGUCCUCAUGGCCUUUAUGUCUGGGGCUACACACGUGCUACAAUGGCGAGUACAAAGCGUUGCCAACCCGCGAGGGGAGCUAAUCGCAUAAAACUCGUCUCAGUUCGGAUUGGAGUCUGCAACUCGGCUCCAUGAAGGAGGAAUCGCUAGUAAUCGCAGAUCAGCACGCUGCGGUGAAUACGUUCCCGGGUCUUGUACACACCG